rnacentral:lncRNA from 1 species
CAACUUUAGAGGAUCCAGUAGAUGAUUCCAAAGACGUACGGAAUGACAGAAAGUUAUAGGACCCCAGUCCAAGAGGAGCCAGAUCCAAAACUGACAGAAAGCACUUUGGAUCACUGAGAGAUCCUUGAGUUUGAACUAGAUGCAGUGACUGGAUAGACCUUCGGGUUGGCAGUUAAGUCAGACCAUGUAACUAAGUUUUAACCAAUGAAAAGAGGCCAGCACUUAUGUAAGCCUUUUCCAAGUUUGAGUCAUAAAAAUAUUCUUUAUGAAAUGUGGUUUCCUUCUUUUCUGUCUGCAGGCCAGAUUUCAAGGAUCUAAUGCAAGAC